rnacentral:rRNA from 1 species
AUUGAACGCUGGCGGCAGGCCUAACACAUGCAAGUCGAGCGGAUGAAGGGAGCUUGCUCCUGGAUUCAGCGGCGGACGGGUGAGUAAUGCCUAGGAAUCUGCCUGGUAGUGGGGGAUAACGUCCGGAAACGGGCGCCAAUACCGCAUACGUCCUGAGGGAGAAAGUGGGGGAUCUUCGGACCUCACGCUAUCAGAUGAGCCUAGGUCGGAUUAGCUAGUUGGUGGGGUAAAGGCCUACCAAGGCGACGAUCCGUAACUGGUCUGAGAGGAUGAUCAGUCACACUGGAACUGAGACACGGUCCAGACUCCUACGGGAGGCAGCAGUGGGGAAUAUUGGACAAUGGGCGAAAGCCUGAUCCAGCCAUGCCGCGUGUGUGAAGAAGGUCUUCGGAUUGUAAAGCACUUUAAGUUGGGAGGAAGGGCAGUAAGUUAAUACCUUGCUGUCUUGACAUUACCAACAGAAUAAGCACCGGCUAACUUCGUG